CGCCCGGCCUGUUUAAGGAAGACAGACACAUAAAACACACCCGAGCCGUGGGUAUAAACCUGCUCUCGGGGUCGUCUCGUUGCUCUUGAGGAUCAGUAGGGCUGGAAAAGCCGGGACACAUCCAGCAGCGUCUCGAAACGUGCCACUUUUCUUCCCUCUUAAAUCAAAGGCAUUCGGGGGCACGUUCCCCGGGGCAGGGCCGGCGAGCGACCCCCCGAAAUUACGACGCUCUGUUUCUCAUCGGGAAAUUUCCCGAUGGGGGAUAAUGGCUGGAAAAUGCAGCGGAGCAGCGCCUCGCUUCCCUUUGCUCCGCUAGCUCGGCGUGCCUCGGGAGCGCACGCUGAAGGAGCCCUGGCUUUCCCUAGCACGGCUAGUCCUUGCUCCCGAAAUUUCUGAAUUAGAUGGCCAUAACGGGGCAGAAGCAGCUCUGAAGUGGACCUCUCGGUUAAUUCUUUAGCAAAGGCUGCGGAAAGCCAGGAGAGCCUCAAGAGGGGAGGGGAUAAUGCAUCCGUGACGUGUCCUCCCGCGCAGCGCCCUCCGAGGGACCCAAAUGCAGAGGAGCCAGAAAAGAGCCGCAAUUAGCACUUGCGAUGGGACGGGGGGCCGGGCCGGGGGGAGCCGGGGGCGGAGGCCCUUUGCUGUGGCAGCCCGAGCCCGCUCCCCCCGACCUCCGUGAGCGGCCGGCGGAGCCCCAGGACCCCCUUGCCCCGUACCCUGCCCUCGCUUGGUGCUUGGCCGUGACCCCGCGGCGCCGAGGGGGCCCCUCGAACCCUCCCCGGGUGUGUGUGGGACCCCCUUCCCAGACCCACGGCAGCGCCAUGAAGUCACCCCAAGCCCUUUCCCUCGUUCUUUUGGCUCUGGUUAAAACGUACCUGCGCACCCACAGGUAUGCGUGGCUCGUCUGUUCACAUACACGUAUAUCCAGCACUCAUUUAUACUAUAUAUGCACAUUUUGCAUAUACAUUAUACGCGUGCGUAAGUAUGGAUAUAUAUAAAUGUACAUAAAUAUAUGCACAGGAGAACAUGCACAGACGCGCAUACACAUGCAUUUAUACUUAAACACACGCAUAUAUAUUUGCACAUACACAUAUAUAUUUACACACACACACGUAUUUUUUAUUUAUAUAUUUACACGUGGCCCCUCGGACAUGCGGUGGAAGGGGGGUCGAGCUCCGGGGGAGGCGGUGGGCGCAGCCGAGGGGCCGCCCCGUGCCCUCCCCGCCGACAACCGCUGCUCCUCAGCCCCCGACGUGACUCCGCGCUGCCCGGCGGGCCGCCGGUGACCGGGGCUUAACCCCGGAGCUGCCGAAACAGCUCUCGGGGGGACGGUGAAGCAAAUCCCGGAGAGCCCAGGCUUUGCCGGGGCCCCCCGAGCCCCCUCCGUCCAGACGGCCCCGCGGAGCUCCCGGGGCUGUAACCGCAGGGCUCGGGGCCACCUUGGCAGGGAUUGUCACAGAGCGAUGCCCGGUGUCCCCUCGCCGCCAGAGUCAUGUCCUGAGUGGCGGAAUUAACCCCAGCCUGGGCAGGACUGAGCCGGGCUUUGACACGGCCCCGACCCGAUGGGAGCCCUUCGCGCUCCGGGGGCACCUCGGAGCUGCUGAGGGGGACACACACCCGCACUUGCGUGUCCCUGUCCCACUCCACGGGGCACACACACUCAUCCCGGGGGGAACAGACCCUCCCCGCGCCCCUCGCAACACCCUGAGACACGCGUGGCUCCAGCAUCCACCGUGCGGGGGGAGCAGGGAUGAGGCCGGGGAUUAAAGCGGGGAGGAAAGGAGAGAAGGAGGGACCAGCAGAGCGUCGGGCGAGACGCGGCUCCACAACCUCGGACACAGGGAGGGCGCCCAGGGGGAUGGGAUCUCCCGUUUGCAAAACACAAUGCACCCGUCCUUAAUAUUAAUCCCCGGGAGAGGCCUGGCCGGCGGGCGAGUGUGUUUGCUUAAGCUCGCCCGCCCCUCCGUAAUUAUCCUAUUACACCAGAAAGAGCCCGGCCCGGCGGUGCCGAGGGAAAGGCCACGCUCUUUAACCUCCCCGCCGCCGGCACCCCUGCCCCGGCUCUCCCCGUCUGGGCCACCGCUCCCCGGGGGAUGGCGAGUAGGGAGAUUCGGUCACCUUCUGCCUUCCCGGCUUGAAAUGUGGGGCAAGGAGAGGGUGAGCGGCUCCCCGACAGGCCCUGCCCGUCCGGCCUCUUGCCCCGUCCCAAACCCGUCCCCUCCUGGCUCAGGUACCCGGUUUCGUCCCCCGGCUGACGCGGCUUUUGUAGGGAGGACCGCGGGCACCGGGAACGGGCUCCGUGCCCCGCCGUCCUGGCUGGGAUUUAGGCUCGAGCUGGUUCCAGGUCAAGGAAACCUGAGCGAAAGCCUUGCACCGGCGAGCACGGGGCGAUGUGACCCGUUCUACCCUCCUGCACUGCCCUUUUCACCCGCAAAAUAGGAACAGCCCCCUACCCCUCUCUCGGGGGUAACCUCUCUCCUGGGCACUCUUGGAGCAGGUUUGGCGACGGCAGAUGUAGCCGGCGAUUAAACCCGCCGCUGUAUUUUUCUUUUUACGGAAGCGUGUUCCGGCUGAGACUUUUCGCCGAGCAAAACAAACCUAAAUUAAUCUAGGGGGAAAAAAAUACCCCCAAAACCAAAAGCAAAACACCCGUCGAAAAGAAACUUCAGUCUUACGGGGAAAUUCUCAAAAUUCAAUGUAACCUCCGCCCACCGCCGAAACUGGACGCGUUAACAGAGAAAAAAAAGAAAAAUCACGUUGCUACAAGGGUGGCCCGAACCUAUGGAGGUGGAUUCGCGGUGUGGAACUCGGUGAGUCGGAGGUGGCUGCAGGGACCUUCCGGCAAGGGCUUCCCCCCCGACCGUUUGAAUAAAAAACUCCACGCCAGGGACGAAAAUAAAUAAGGAGAAUAAAUAAAACAAUAAAUUGUUUUAA